GAGACUCUGUGCGCGUGCAUAUCAAUAAGCGGAGGAAAAGAAACUAACAAGGAUUCCCUUAGUAACGGCGAGUGAAGCGGGAAGAGCUCAAAUUUGAAAUCUUCAAGGUUUUACCUUGACGAAUUGUAGUUUAAAGAAGUGUUUUCUGUUGAAGUUUUGGUAAAAGUUCUUUGGAAUAGGACAUCAUAGAGGGUGAGAAUCCCGUAUUUGACCAUUAUUUCCAGCUGUGUGAUACACUUUCAAAGAGUCGGAUUGUUUGGGCAUGCAGUCCAAAAUGGGUGGUAAAUUUCAUCUAAAGCUAAAUAUUGGCGAGAGACCGAUAGCGAACAAGUACCGUGAGGGAAAGAUGAAAAGAACUUUGAAAAGAGAGUUAAACAGUACGUGAAAUUGUCAAAAGGGAAGCGUUUGACACCAGUGUUGUUUAGUUGAAAAUCAAUUCAAUAGUUUUUGAUUCUAAGUAGUAUUGACUUCAUCAGCUUGCUGCUUUCUUCUCAGAAAUUAUUGAAUGCACUUUUCAGUUAACAAGUCAACAUCAAUUUCUUUUGUUGUAAAAGGGUAAGAGGAAGGUGGCUUACGUUUCGGCGUAAGUGUUUAUAGCCUUUUACCUCCUGCAAUCGGAGAGAUUGAGGACAGCAGCGUAGACUCCUUCGGGGGUUAGAUACACUUGUGCUAAGCUAUAGCCUUGUAUAGACAACUUGUUGACUAUGCUCAGUCAUGUAGCUUACUCGCUUGUGCUAUUUUACCUACGCUUAGGAUGUUGAAGUCAUCGUAUCGCGC
rnacentral:rRNA from 1 species